UACGAAGGGGGCUAGCGUUGCUCGGAAUCACUGGGCGUAAAGCGCACGUAGGCGGAUUUCUAAGUCAGGGGUGAAAUCCUGGAGCUCAACUCCAGAACUGCCUUUGAUACUGAGGAUCUUGAGUUCGGGAGAGGUGAGUGGAACUGCGAGUGUAGAGGUGAAAUUCGUAGAUAUUCGCAAGAACACCAGUGGCGAAGGCGGCUCACUGGCCCGAUACUGACGCUGAGGCACGAAAGCGUGGGGAGCAAACAGG
rnacentral:rRNA from 1 species